AUGAACGCUGGCGGCGUGCCUAAUACAUGCAAGUCGAGCGAACAGACGAGGAGCUUGCUCCUCUGACGUUAGCGGCGGACGGGUGAGUAACACGUGGAUAACCUACCUAUAAGACUGGGAUAACUUCGGGAAACCGGAGCUAAUACCGGAUAAUAUAUUGAACCGCAUGGUUCAAUAGUGAAAGACGGUUUUGCUGCCACUUAUAGAUGGAUCCGCGCCGCAUUAGCUAGUUGGUAAGGUAACGGCUUACCAAGGCAACGAUGCGUAGCCGACCUGAGAGGGUGAUCGGCCACACUGGAACUGAGACACGGUCCAGACUCCUACGGGAGGCAGCAGUAGGGAAUCUUCCGCAAAGGGCGAAAGCCUGACGGAGCAACGCCGCGUGAGUGAUGAAGGUCUUCGGAUCGUAAAACUCUGUUAUUAGGGAAGAACAAAUGUGUAAGUAACUAUGCACGUCUUGACGGUACCUAAUCAGAAAGCCACGGCUAACUACGUG
rnacentral:rRNA from 1 species